UACGAGGGGGGCGAGCGUUAUUCGGAAUCACUGGGCGUAAAGCGUGCGUAGGCUGUCUUGUAAGUUGGAAGUGAAAGCCCAGAGCUCAACUUUGGAAUUGCUUUCAAAACUACAAGACUCGAAUUCGGGAGAGGAUAGCGGAAUUUCCAGUGUAGCAGUGAAAUGCGUAGAUAUUGGAAGGAACACCAGUGGCGUAAGCGGCUAUCUGGACCGACAUUGACGCUGAGGCACGAAAGCGUGGGGAUCAAACAGG
rnacentral:rRNA from 1 species